UGAGGCUUCUGCUUGACCUUCUGCGUGCCC
rnacentral:piRNA from 1 species